ACAUGCCUACAACAUAGUGUUAAUGCACCGGAUCCCAUUAGAACUCCACAGUUAAGCACGCGUAGGCUAGAGUAGUAUGUGGAUGGGUGACCACCUGAGAAGUCCUAGUGUUUUACAUGCC
rnacentral:rRNA from 1 species